rnacentral:lncRNA from 1 species
GAGCAUGUUUUAUUUAUUUAUCAUUUAUUCAUUUUAUUGCUGUUGUUGAUCUGAAUCUUGCUACUGCAGAGAAGAGAUGCAACAACGACUAGCGGAUUGCGAACGUGCGGGAACUCCAGUGGCGAGGAGUUAAUGUGAUGUUUUGUUGUUAUAUUUUGUAAAGAAAGAGAACAAUAAAGUUCUUGAAGGGGUGGAGACGGUGAUUGCUGUUGCGAGCCACUCGCGGUUUCUUCCCCUCCUUCGAGAGCUCUUGUUUUCACAGUUGUGUACGUGCUGUGUUGUCCCACCAGCUUCCGACUGGCUCAUGCGCAGAAACGUUUGAUUGAAGUUAAAAUAUCCAUAUCCUGCAUGAUUUUAAUGUUACAAUUUGUUUAUAUUGCCAAAGAGUACAAUUCAACCCCUCAUGUAUUAAAAAUAAAUAAAUAACAACAACAACAACAAUAUUCAUACAAGUAAUGUUUAAACUAAAAUGUAAUGGAGAUAUAAAAUACCUUUCAAGACUC